UACGUAGGGGGCUAGCGUUGUCCGGAUUUAUUGGGCGUAAAGAGCUCGUAGGUGGUUCGGUAAGUCGGAUGUGAAAUCUCCAGGCUCAACCUGGAGGGGUCAUUCGAUACUGCCGUGACUAGAGUUCGGUAGAGGAGUGUGGAAUUCCUGGUGUAGCGGUGAAAUGCAUAGAGAUCAGGAAGAACACCGGUGGCGAAAGCGCUCUGCUAGGCCGCAACUGACACUGAGGGACGAAAGCUAGGGGAGCGAAUGGG
rnacentral:rRNA from 1 species